AUUUGGGGCAAUUAAUUUGAUGGAUUGCAAAUCAGCUCCCGACUUCCUCGUGCUCCUCCCUGGGACUGAGCAGCGGGACUGAGAGUGCCUUCCUGUCCCCUGGCACCUGUGUCACCUGCUGGUGGCCUCAACUUGGUUCAAAUUUGAGCACACAGUAGGUGCUUUCUGAAAGCCUUGAGUAUCUGAUGAGAGCCUUUCUAGAAAGCUGUUAGCUGAGGAACUCCCAGUGGCCACACCAUUCAUAGGUACAACUGAACCUCUGCCACGAGCUAAUCUGCUCAAGGUCACUCAUGUCACUGGUGACAGCUGGGACUGCAGCCAGGUUUUCUACACUGCACUUGCCUAGUGUGCUCAAAGGAAAGGCGAUGCACGAGGCACACGGCGAAGGACUCCUGUGGGUUGUCCUGAUCACCCCGUGCCUUGGGUCGGAGGUUCCUGUCAGCGUCGUCCCCUGGUGGUUUCGAAGCCUCCUACAAGGGUGUUAAGGGUCACUUUGCUGUGCUCCCGUGCCGUGCUCCCCUGGGCACUGCAAUGGUGCUCAGAACUGACUUGCUUUGUAGGACACCUUUGUAGUUGUGCUUCUCCUUCUCCUGGCUUAAUCUUGUGUGUUAAGGUUUUGGCCUUCCCACACAUCUGUAAGUACGAAGGGUUUUACAGAAAGCCGUGUGUAAAGCAAUCUCAGUGUAAGGACAUACCAGGUGUCUAGGGGUGGCUAGCUUAUUCAGUGCUCCUGCUGUGUGGCAGCUUUGGGCGGGUUUUUUAUGAUAGACUAGGCUUCUACCCUAGGAACCCAUUCUUCUUAGAAUCAAUUUCUCUCCCCCCCUACCCCCUACUAGAGUCUCAUUAUGUAACUAACCCUGGCUGGCUAGGAACUUGUCUAUAUAGACCAUGUUAGUUUCAAACUCACAGAAAUCUGCCUGUCUCUCCUCUCCUUUUUUAAGUACUAGGAUUAAAGGUGUACACCACUCAUCCAACUAGAAUUAAUUUUGGCUAACAUAUAAAUAAGUAGGUUCGGUUGUUGCUUUGGUGCGGGGGGAGGGGGGAAAUUUUUUGUGUAUCUCAGCCUUAACCUUCAGCUUCUUUCUACCUCCUCAAUGUAGGGUUACAAGUGCAUACCAACACAGCAGUUUAUGUGGUGCUAGGACUCAAACCCAGGGUAUAUGACUGGGCAAGCCACCAUAACACUUUCAUGUAAAUAGGUCCUUAUACUUUGUGUCCCUGCCCCUCCCUGAGUUUCAGUUUCCAUUUGUAAUCAGCUGAUUGAGCAUUAUUGAUUUCCUGAGGCUGCCAGGCAUUGUUGCAGAGGCCAGGCUGGACUGUGUACAUAAGCCACAAACUCUCUGCUCCUUGAACAUACUUUGCAGUGGACAGAAAGAUGUACCUUUGGAGGACUGCAAAUGUGUGAGGCAUCUGAGUUGAGAUCUCAUCAAGGUAUGUGACAUCUAGGCAGAAGGUCCCCUGAGGCGAGAACAGCAAGUUCAGAAGCCAGGGGUCUGGAGUGGGCCUGGCUUGUCCGGAGGAGCAGAAGGAGGUCAGGCUGGGCUGAGAGUGCAGGAGGUGUGGGGGUGAGGGAUUUGGCCUUCGCCCAGGGUUGGGGUUUGGGGGAGCUAUCCUAGGCUUUUGGACAGAGGAAUGUCAUUUGCUUUAGAAGGCUGAUUUGCUGGUUGUGUGUGGGAUAAACAGACCGCCCCAAGCCCAUGUAGGUAGUGUGUUUAAUACAGUACCCAGCAUGGAAUGCACCUCCAUCUUGGACUCGGGUUCUUCACAAGAACUCUAUCAUCAAAAUUGGCCUGGGUGACUGCUGCUGUCAGCCCGUUGUCUUCUGCCUCCUGUGACGACAGCAUUGGGAUGUCCUUUCCCUGAGGAGGAACCAGUGGGACCUAGGCUUGGGAGUGACAAGAGAACUGACAACUCAUUCUUUGGCUAUUCUUUGCCCAGUUGGCCCUGUAGUUGUGGUGGUGUUCGAAUGGAGUCAUGGAAAGGGUGCUUGCUUCUACAGACCUGGCAGAUCCGACUCUGACCAUGUAGCGCAGACCACCCAAGUAAUGCCAAGUUGGCUGCCCAUGGAGCUUCUGUAUCUAAAGCUCUUCUCCCCAUUCUGGUUGCCCAUGAUUUUGAGAGAGGCUAGAACUGGGCCUCUGCACCUUCUUCCCCCUCUUUGCCUUUCUCUCUACAACCUCAGGCCUUUAUGGAAAGACCUCAGGUGUCCUUUGACUCCUGGUUGUCGCUUAUCAGGUGGAGACACCUUUGGCAGCAGAACUGGUAUUCACCUCCGCUGGGUCUCUUUGGAUGGCAGGAAGCAUUCUCUAUUUGUUAGUGUCCCAGUAUCAUUGGCAGGAAAUUCCACUUUGGCUCUGAGAUCAUCAUUGCCUUUAGUUAUUUUUUGAAGGUGUGUUUCACCACAUCCAGGCACUUUUUGGGUUUUAAUUAAUUAGUUAACUAAUUAAUUUUAUGUAUCUUGUCUGCAUGUAUGUCUAUAUACCAUGUACAUGCACAACUUGCAGAGGUCAGAAGAGGGCGUGGACUGGGAUUGCCAUUAUAACUGUUAGCAGUGGGGAAUAGGUCCUUUGGAAGAGCAGUCAGAGCUCUUAACCACUGAGCAAUCCCACCGCAUCCCCUGCUUUUAGAUCUGAAACAGCCGCUCAUCAUCUUCUCCUACCCAUUUAUUUAACCCCGCCUCCUUUAGGGAAGAGUUUCCCAAGAGCCUUUGUUUAGUUCUUGCUGUUACUUGGAGUAAUCCCCUAGGUGGGAGGCAUCUUCUCGGGGUACAGAAGGCUCCAAAGAGGUCUUAGAACCAGGAGGCGAUAACACAUCUUUCAAUGAUGCAGAAUCCUGCAGUUCAAGGUGGUUGCCCAUCACUGGACAGUUGAGCUUAGACUUGUGCCUAUGUGUGGUGUAGGGACAGAAAGGGUGAGGCUGUGAACUAACAGGUGGCCCAGAGCACACAGGCUCCCUCUUCAGCCCUGUGUGUCUGAGGUCAGCAGGCUGCCUGGGCUGCAGGUUUUAGAGCUCGUUUGUUUGGGCCCAGCUACCAUGAGUUUCCCCCAUAAAGAGCUCCGUUUGGGUUUGCACAUCCCACCCUCCACCCCAUCUUUCCUGCCUACUCUGGAUGGGGUUACUGAUUAAGUUUGUCCUGGGAGCCUGUGCACAUAGAGCGGUGUGUUGGAUGUGGACACUCUAUUUCUGGGCCCAGUGAGGUGUAAGCAGAGCUCCGGGCCCUUGCAUCUGGAGCUCCCUCUUCCUGGGUUCUGUGGUCCUGGCUGGCUGGUCUUCUGCUGGUCAGUCGCUUGGACACACAAGCCUGUCUCUGCCCUGCAGGUUGUUUGAUUUAGGCAGAGAGUCUGCAAUGAUAGGAACCUGGACUUGAGCCCUUGACCAAACAUUCCAAAUUCUUUGGACAUAAAGAUUUUCUGAAGGGGCUUGGGGCCCUUCCAAGGCUUCCCAGUUUCUGUUUAUACCCCAUGCAGAUUUGGGUUUGGAACGGAUUUUCCCGUAUUCCCUAGAGCCCUUUCCCAGUCUCCCGAGGGACCUGGUUAGGUCGUUGGGACUCUUUUUUAACCCAGCCUCACCCACUGGCUCAUGGAGCAUCCUCCUGGCAGCCCCUGCCCUUCCCCAGUGCCAUGAUGGUGAAAGGCUGAGGGUGGAGUGGGGCCUUUUGUUUUGUUUUUAAAUAAGGGCAACGUGGGUAAACAGAGCAGCGUUUCUGGUGCCGUCAGAGAGGGCCAGGACCCCACAUUCCGGCUCCAUGACAACAGGCUGUGGGCAGCGGCCGUUGAGAUGGACAAUGGUGGCUCUGUUGAAAGGCUGAGGCUGGGCUCUGAACGAGUGCAUUUUAAUUGAGCACUUUCCACCCUGAGAUCUGUGGGGAUCUGGUGGCCCACGCCUCGCCCAGUCAUUUUGUCUUUGCAGCUUCAGAACCAAGUUAUUGCAGCCCCUUGUUCCCUUUUCAGCCUGGGCUGGUUUGUUCCACAAUGGUGGUUUCAGUGGAUCUCAUUGACCCCUCUGCAGAAGGAGAACUCCUUUUUGUUAAAGGCCCACUGCGUGCCGAGCACAUGAAACUUUCGUCUGAUGAAGGCCUGCGUAUUCAGUUCUCUCAUUUAGAGACUUGUUGAUUUUUCUUCCUCAUUGUCCUAGGCGGCUCAAACCAACUAAGAACACGCGUGUCUCGAAGAACAGCCUUUCCCACGGUCAAGCUCAGCAUGCCUUCUGCCAGACAUGUCCCCUUACCACCAUCUCCAUGGGAUUCAUCUGUACAAAAGCACACUUGCCACUAGUCUGUGAAAUUAAACCUUUGCAUCCUGUCUGCA